rnacentral:lncRNA from 1 species
UCCCAGCCUUCCCACUGGCUAGUGAGCUGUUGGAGGAAAAGGUGCUUGAGUUUUUCAUCUUGUGCCUCUUUCCCGCAUAGCACUGUACCUUGCACGUUCUAAGCCUCCUCAAAAGAGUGUGUGGAUCCAAAUGGCAGCUUUUCAGGAACUGUUUUUAAUUUUCUUUGAGAAGAACAGACAAAGUGAAGGCUCAGAAAUGAGAAAGGCCCUCCUCUGCUGCUGCUAAGUUGCUUCAGUCGUGUCUGACUCUGUGCGACCCUAUAGAUGGCAGCCCACCAGGCUCCACCGUCCCUGGGAUUCUCCAGGCAAGAACAAUGGAGUGGGUU